rnacentral:lncRNA from 10 species
GGUGGGGCACGAUUCAGUCCACUGCACACCGUUCUCCUCUCCAGACCUCUCACUGGCAAGUCCUUUCAUCUCAAUUUCAGUUCUGUGAGGCCGUCCUACUAUUGUCUAUCACCCUGUUUGAUUUUUUUGUAGCCUCAUCAUUUAUUCAUUACAGUUUCUUAAGUUCUUUUUUUUAGGGAGCUUGUCAUUGCCUAGAAGAGUGCUGGGCACACAAUAGUGAUACUGAAUAUACAACUAAAAUCAUGUAAUAUAGCACAUGAGAUUCUUAAUGCUAAAAUUAAGACUUUUUAACAUGAAAAAUGCUCUUAAGGGCAGAAAUGAAGCAAAUUUCAGGCAAGAUGGCAGACAAGACUGAAACGGAUUCAUCCAUCAACUGCUACAGACUUAAAAAACAAAAUAUGCCCAAUGCAAAGCUGAGCUCAGGAAAUCCUCAGAUGCUAGAGAUAAAGACAAAAUCCAGUUGCAGAAGUGAGUUCCAGGUGAUGCCAGGAGACCCCAGGAAGUAUCAGAUUAGGUCACAAAACUAGGAAUAAGGUUUUAAUGUCUUCAGAAAAACAGAGCAUUUGGUGAGAGAAGGGAACUAAUCCGAGACUCCCGCAUACAACCAGGACACUUGAAGGGCUGCCUCACCUGUGAAAAAGAAACUGGAAAAAUCUCUUCAAAUCUGUCUGUGGAAACAGAAAGACAGCCUGGUGUUUGACAAAGCUCUCGGUGGGACAAACCUCCUCUGAGAAAUGGAAACCUAGGAAAUCAAAAGCCCAGAAAUUAAGGGAAAGCAUUAGUCUCAGAUAAUGAAAAGGAAACCCUUGGGGCCCGGGCCAAAGCAAAUGUAAAAACAUGAACACUUGCAUAAUCUCGUACAUGGGACUCACAGAAAAUGCAACCCCUAAUAUAGAUGAGCUCGCAAUGAAAAAUUAUCCACCACUGUGGCAAUGCAGUCACCAAAAGGAAGACUCAACAGACCAAUGAGCAUAGACACGAGCUGUGGAGGUAACAACUGGAAACAGAAGAAUAAAAUCUCAAGAUAAAUAAUUUAAAAAUACUUAACAUGGAAAAAUAUUUCACUUAAAAAAUAUAACUUUUAGAAAAAAUAUAGUAUCAUUAACUUAAAAAUUCAGUAGCUAGGUUGAACAAUAAAUUCACCACAAAUGAAAAGAGAAUUAGAGAUCUGGAUCACGGAGCUGGAAGAUGAAUGCAGAGGCAGCACAGGGAGGUAAAGCAAUGGAAAAGAUCGCAGGGAGUCCCAAGACCCGGGAUGCUCCCUCGAGUCACUCACAGGAGCUCCAGAGGAAAGGACAGAUCAUGGGGAAAGGCAAUAUUUGAAGCAACAAUGACUGGGAAUUUUUCAUAAUUAAGAAAGAUGUAAAUAUUCAGAGGGAAAAUGCAGAUCUAGACACUUUUCAGAAACACUAUGAAACUCCAAAGUCAAGGAAAAGAUUAAAAGCAACUAGAAACAAAAGACAGUUUACAAUAAAAGAUCCAAAUUAGAUGGAAAUUACAUGUCUCAUUAAUAAAAUAGAGGUCAGAGAAAAGGGUAAAAAAUGUUCAACAUGCUCAAAGAACAAAAGUUAUUCAUCUACAAUACAACUUAGUAAAAUUAUCAUUCAAAAAUAAAGACAAAUCAAAUGUAUUUGACUAAGACUGAAGGGUAUUUUUUUAACCCCUGGAUCAUCAACUUUACCAAAGGAUAAAAUUUAUUAAAAAUAUGAUCAGCUUGUCGAAAGAAUGAAUCAAUGACACUCUGUCUUCGUGGAGAGCAGCCUGGGUGUGGAA